AAUGAACGUUGGCGGCGUGGAUUAGGCAUGCAAGUCGCGCGAGAAGUUUCCUUCGGGAGACGGACAGCGGCGGAAGGGAGAGGAAUAAGUAGAAAUCUGCCCUCGGGACGGGGAUAGCGGCGGGAAACUGCCGGUAAUACCCGAUAACAUCUUUGGAUCAAAUGGUGUGAUUCCGCCUGAGGAUGAGUCUACUUCCUAUUAGCUAGUUGGUGUGGUAAUGGCUCACCAAGGCAACGAUGGGUAGCGGGUGUGAGAGCACGAUCGCCCCACUGGGACUGAGACACUGCCCAGACACCUACGGGUGGCUGCAGUCGAGAAUCUUCGGCAAUGGGGGAAACCCUGAUCGAGCGACGCCGCGUGCGGGAUGAAGGCCCUCGGGUUGUAAACCGCUGUCGUAAGGGAACAAAUCUAAGAGGGUACUCCCUUUUAGUUGAGUGAUCUUAGGAGGAAGGACGGGCGUAAGUUCGUG
rnacentral:rRNA from 1 species